rnacentral:rRNA from 1 species
GACGAACGCUGGCGGCGUGCCUAAUACAUGCAAGUCGAGCGCAGGAAAUCGACGGAACCCUUCGGGGGGAAGUCGAUGGAAUGAGCGGCGGACGGGUGAGUAACACGUAAAGAACCUGCCCUCAGGUCUGGGAUAACCACGAGAAAUCGGGGCUAAUACCGGAUGGGUCAUCGGACCGCAUGGUCCGAGGAUGAAAGGCGCUUCGGCGUCGCCUGGGGAUGGCUUUGCGGUGCAUUAGCUAGUUGGUGGGGUAAUGGCCCACCAAGGCGACGAUGCAGAGCAGACCUGAGAGGGGGAUCGGCCACACUGGGACUGAGACACGGCCCAGACUCCUACGGGAGGCAGCAGUAGGGAAUCUUCCACAAUGGACGAAAGUCUGAUGGAGCAACGCCGCGUGAACGAUGAAGGCCUUCGGGUCGUAAAGUUCUGUUGUAAGGGAAGAACAAGUGCCGCAGGCAAUGGCGGCACCUUGACGGUACCUUGCGAGAAAGCCACGGCUAACUACGUGCCAGCCGCCGCAGUAAGAC